AACGUAGGACACGAACGUUAUCCGGAGUUACUGGGCGUAAAGGGCGCGCAGGCGGAAGUGCAAGUUUGGUAUGAAAGGCGCUGGCUAAACUGGCGGGGUGUAUCAAAAACUGCACGACUAGAGCGAAAUAGAGGGAAGUAGAAUUCCGGGUGUAGUGGUGAAAUGCGUAGAUAUCCGGAGGAAUAUCAGAGGCGAAGGCGGCUUCCUGGAUUUCGGCUGACGCUGAGGCGCGAAAGCGUGGGUAGCGAACGGG
rnacentral:rRNA from 1 species